rnacentral:rRNA from 1 species
UACGUAGGGCGCAAGCGUUAUCCGGAAUUAUUGGGCGUAAAGAGCCUCGUGAGCGGUUUGUCGCGUCUGCCGUGAAAGUCCGGGGCUCAACUCCGGAUCUGCGGUGGGUACGGGCAGACUAGAGUGAUGUAGGGGAGACUGGAAUUCCUGGUGUAGCGGUGAAAUGCGCAGAUAUCAGGAGGAACACCGAUGGCGAAGGCAGGUCUCUGGGCAUUAACUGACGCUGAGGAGCGAAAGCAUGGGGAGCGAACAGG